UGCUUCUCAAAACUUUGAUGGUGAAGCCGAAGUCCGUAUGAGUCUUUUGCUUUCUAUCUUCUAACAAGAAAACACUACUUAGGCUUUUAAGAUCGGGUUGUGGUUUAAGUUGUUAUACUCAAUCAUACACAUGACAUCAAGUCAUAUAUGACUCCAAAACACUAACCAAGCUUCUUUGUGCUUCUCAAA
rnacentral:sRNA from 1 species